CCCAAACUUUUAAGCUAAAAAUAUCAAAAAUAUACCAUAAACUUUAAAUUUUAAGCUAAAAAUAUCAAAAAUAUACCAUAAACUUUAAAUUGAAAUUAAAUAACAAAUAGGGAAUGAAAAGAGCAAGUCAGAUAGAUGGUGAUAGAGAUUGAAAACAGUGAAAGAGACUGAACUGUAGCAGCAAUUGGAUCCCUCAAUGAGCUCUUCAAUAACACGACUGCAGCAUAAGUAAGCGGUGGUGUGGAUGUUGGGAUGAAUGCCCCAGAGAAUAAAAACGUGCGGUGCUGAAAAUGCCAUUUUUCAUGAAAAACAACUCUCCUCUUUGUGGCGUGAAUAAACUAGACGAAAAGCCCUUGGUUCCAAUUUUGGUUUCGUGCGGUGCUAAAUUAAUAUGGAGAAAAAAAAUAAAAGUGUACCAUGCCUCCUUCAAGUCCUAAUGAAAAAUAAAAUCUUUUUAUCUUAUGCGGCGUACGUAUAUGAAACACCCAAUACCCCUCCAAUUCAAACACCCAAUACCCCUCCAAUUCAAUAUGUGCGGCAUGCAGAAAUGCCCCAAAUGAAAAUGCAUUGCCCCAGGUCAAAGUUCCAUUCCGAAAUAAAUUCCUUUUAUCCGUGCGGUGUGUCAACUUGAAGUCCCAGCGUGUAACUUUUAUUAAUCCCAACUUUCAUUUCUUUUGAUCACUGCAUAUAAAGAUAAAUAAAAUAAAAUAAAAUAAGAAAAAAUAUACAUAUGUUGUGCAUAUAAAGAAAAAUUACUCAAUUAAAUCACAAGUUCUAAUAUUAAGCAUGCCACCUUCUUCUGAAACUCCAGUGAAGCAUCAUUGCCAAACAGAGGGCGAGAUGCCAACAGCUGCCCAAAUGAAGAUGUUGAGGGCACCACUGUCAACAUGGGUCUAGAUAGGACCACUGAAUUUGGUACUGAGCCAAAUCUGGAAAGGAAGGUGUCUAAUACACCCACAUCAUUGCCUGCUUCUCCCAUGCUGGAUGAUCUUGAUAGACUUGUGGGCCAAGACCUUGUGAACUUGGCCGCUGCCUUUGACCUUGAACUACCUGCUCAAGGGUCAACUUUAAUGGGUAGUCCACCCUUCAAGUUUCUUUACCUUCUUGCUUCUACGCCUAGCGGCGGGGAAUCCAACUUCGAGAUUUUCAAAGCCUUUUCCCUAGUGGCUGGGAUAGUGAUUCCUGAGAUAACACCCAUUACAACUCGUGGCGACCAAAUUUACAAUUCUAUUACUUUACCUACAACUAUUUCUAGGGGCAUCACCCCUUCGACGGACAACAAAUGAGUCUCUAUCCCCUUGCCCUCCCCCUCUUCCUUCGGCGUCAAUGUGGAAACUUCAACCCCUAAGGAAGGGGUGGGUCAUCGGGAGGAGAUCAUGUGGCAGCUGGUAAUGAGGAAGAAGAAGCUAAUGAAGAUGAAGAGGAACUCGUUGCUACUCCAUCCCCUUAUACCUCUACACCAAAUGUGGAGGCCACUACCACUCCUAUUGCACCUAAGACGGGGACCACAGUUUCACCUGUUGUGCCAGAUAUGUUUCCCCUAGGAAGAGUUUAGGUAGAGAAUCACCAAGCCAAGGAGAUAGUGGCUGAAGGCCCUUCUGAUGCAAGUUCCCUAGCUUAGGAUGGGGGUGUGGAGAUGUCACAUUGCCUGAAGGAUUUUUUUACUAUGGGUGUGGAUAGCAUGGCAACUUGGAUUACUAACGACUGGGCUGAUCUAGAGUUUGAAGUUCGCGAAAGGCAAAAAGUUGCCUUCUACGCCAAACAAGAGAUUUCUCACCUGUUAGCUGAGGAGACUGAGUUGGAGUCUUACCUCAAGCAAGCUGAUGGGCACAUUCACUUUCUAGAAGGUAAACUUGAUAUUCUCUGUGAGGAUGUAUUUGAGCUUCAAGGUGAGUUACUUCAUGUUGGGUCUACAUGUUGGGUCUUUGAAUGCCAAGCAAGGCUUUGCCCUAUUGGUAGAGUCUUGGCAUGACUUAGCUCACGCCUAACUGCAUAAGGCAAGAAGGAAUUAGAAUCCUCCCAGCAGCAGAUGGUCGCGACUAAGCAAAAUUGUUCUAAACAUGCUCAGGCGCUAGCUGCCUCUGAAGGAUUGGUAAGCAGAUCUCCCUUGACCUCUCGUAGGCUAAGGUGUUGCAUGUUGCAGCCCAAAGGGAACUCAAUUUCCAGUUGGCCAAGAGUAAGGGUUCUUAUGAAGAUCUACGCAAGAUGUUCGAUACUUACAAGAAAAAUCAGGAGACUCUUGACACCAAGCAAGAUAGGCAUAACCAGGCUCUGAUCAAUCUGGAUAAAAAGAUGAGGAAGCAUAAUUCACAACUAUAAGAGCUAGAGGCCGAACUGAAUGUUUCAAGGAGUGAAGUGGUUCGCUUGCAUUUGUAGUUGGCCUCUGCCAUUGGCAUAAGGGAUUAAGCCUUUGGGUAUGGAUAUGGGGUUGGCAUGGCUCAUCUGCGAGCCCAUUUUUGGCUCACCCUUAAACUAACUAGAAGAAUUUGAAACUUGAUGAUUUUAAGCCUCCUAAUGCAGCAGUUCAAUUUGUUGGCUCCUUGGGGCACAAAAGCAUGUCUGACACUUUCUUGAGCUUGCCGCCACCCUCGACAUCCUCAAAUCCUCCACCAAAUCCUCCCUCUUAGGCAUCUAAAUUCUUGUAUCUAUUUUUUUUAAGUUGACUCGAAUAUAAAUCUUUUGUAACCAGGGUUUGUAUAAUUCGCUGGACAGAUUGACAUUGAUAUGCUAUGAAAUUUUGCUAA